rnacentral:rRNA from 1 species
CAGUAGCCACGGGAAUACAGAGGGUGCAAGCGUUAAUCGGAAUUACUGGGCGUAAAGCGCGCGUAGGUGGUUUGUUAAGUUGGAUGUGAAAGCCCCGGGCUCAACCUGGGAACUGCAUCCAAAACUGGCAAGCUAGAGUACGGUAGAGGGUGGUGGAAUUUCCUGUGUAGCGGUGAAAUGCGUAGAUAUAGGAAGGAACACCAGUGGCAAAGGCGACCACCUGGACUGAUACUGACACUGAGGUGCGAAAGCGUGGGGAGCAAACAGGAUUAGAUACCCGCGUAGUCCCUGUCUCUUAUAA